ensembl:snRNA
GUGUUAUAUGAAAGGAGAGAAGGUUAGCACUCCUCUUGACAAGGAUGGAAAAGACCCUCAGGCCUGACAAUACGCAUAUGGUUAAGGCAUUGCCACCUACUUCGUGGCAUCUAACCACUGUUUUUA